rnacentral:rRNA from 1 species
GAUGAACGCUAGCGGCAGGCUUAACACAUGCAAGUCGAGGGGUAUAUCAUUUCGGUGAUAGAGACCGGCGCACGGGUGCGUAACGCGUAUGCAAUCUACCUUUUACAGGGGAAUAGCCCAGAGAAAUUUGGAUUAAUGCCCCAUGGUAUUAUGAAAUGGCAUCAUUUUAUAAUUAAAGUUCCAACGGUAAAAGAUGAGCAUGCGUCCCAUUAGUUAGUUGGUAAGGUAACGGCUUACCAAGACGAUGAUGGGUAGGGGUCCUGAGAGGGAGAUCCCCCACACUGGUACUGAGACACGGACCAGACUCCUACGGGAGGCAGCAGUGAGGUAAUAUUGGACAAUGGGCGCAAGCCUGAUCCAGCCAUGCCGCCGUGCAGGAAGAAGCAUCUAUGGUGUGUAAACCUGCCUUUUUAUACAGGAAGAAACACUCCCCUGUCGAGGGUAGCCUUUGGACCGGUUACUGUAAGAACUAAGGGACCGGUAAACUCCGUGCCCAGGCCAGCCGCGGUAAA